rnacentral:pre_miRNA from 1 species
UGCAGGAACUUGUGAGUCUCCUAUUGAAAAUGGACAGGAGACUGACAAGUUCCCGGGAA